rnacentral:pre_miRNA from 1 species
UCUUAUGGGUAAGCAAAGAAAGUGAUUUCUUGAGAAGGAAUCUACUCCUGGUGAAGAUGCUGUGAA